GACGAACGCUGGCGGCGUGCUUAACACAUGCAAGUCGAACGGAAAGGCCCUGCUUUUGUGGGGUGCUCGAGUGGCGAACGGGUGAGUAACACGUGAGUAACCUGCCCUUGACUUUGGGAUAACUUCAGGCAACUGGGGCUAAUACCGGAUAGGAGCUCCUGCUGCAUGGUGGGGGUUGGAAAGUUUCGGCGGUUGGGGAUGGACUCGCGGCUUAUCAGCUUGUUGGUGGGGUAGUGGCUUACCAAGGCUUUGACGGGUAGCCGGCCUGAGAGGGUGACCGGCCACAUUGGGACUGAGAUACGGCCCAGACUCCUACGGGAGGCAGCAGGGGGGAAUAUUGCACAAUGGGCGGAAGCCUGAUGCAGCAACGCCGCGUGCGGGAUGACGGCCUUCGGGUUGUAAACCGCUUUCGCCUGUGACGAAGCGUGAGUGACGGUAAUGGGUAAAGAAGCACCGGCUAACUACGUG
rnacentral:rRNA from 1 species